AAUCAACGCUGGCGGCGUGCCUAACACAUGCAAGUCGAACGGGAAACAGGGGCAACUCUGUGAGUACAGUGGCGUACGGGUGAGUAACACGUGACUACCUACCCUCGAGUGGGGGAUAACCCGGAAACCGGGGCUAAUACCGCAUAACAUCGAGAGAUCAAAGGAGAAAUCCGCUUGAGGAGGGGGUCGGCGGCUGAUUAGCUAGUUGGUGAGGUAAUGGCUCACCAAGGCGAUGANCGGUAGCCGGCC
rnacentral:rRNA from 1 species